rnacentral:ncRNA from 1 species
ACCUUAUAUAGAUGUAGCCACGCAAGACAGUGGUGCAUCUCCCUGUAAGGUGGUGUUUCAAUAGAAGUAUAAACGACAAGCCUUAUUGCCUAGCUUUUGAGUUGAAAUAAGGUGAGUUUAUAUGGAAGAGGUUAACCGUAAGACCUUAAGUUGAAAAACUUUAAAUUGGAUCUAAAAGUCGAAUUUCUUAAUUUUCGCACUUUUUAGUUACGGUGGU